GAUGAACGCUGGCGGCGUGCCUAAUACAUGCAAGUCGAGCGAACGGACGAGAAGCUUGCUUCUCUGAUGUUAGCGGCGGACGGGUGAGUAACACGUGGAUAACCUACCUAUAAGACUGGGAUAACUUCGGGAAACCGGAGCUAAUACCGGAUGAUAUUUUGAACCGCAUGGUUCAAAAGUGAAAGACGGUCUUGCUGUCACUUAUAGAUGGAUCCGCGCUGCAUUAGCUAGUUGGUAAGGUAACGGCUUACCAAGGCAACGAUGCAUAGCCGACCUGAGAGGGUAAUCGGCCACACUGGAACUGAGCCACGGUCCAGACUCCUACGGGAGGCAGCAGUAGGGAAUCUUCCGCAAUGGGCGAAAGCCUGACGGAGCAACGCCGCGUGCGUGAUGAAGGUCUUCGGAUCGUAAAACUCUGUUAUUCGGGAAGAACAUAUGUGUAAGUAACUGUGCACAUCUUGACGGUACCUAAUCAGAAAGCCACGGCUAACUACGUG
rnacentral:rRNA from 1 species